rnacentral:pre_miRNA from 1 species
UUUUUAGUAUGAGUAUAUCCCAUGCAAUAUUUGGAACAUACUUACACUAUAA